UACGAAGGGGGCUAGCGUUGUUUCGGAAUCACUGGGCGUAAAAGGGCGCGUAGGCGGCCGAUCAAGUCGGGGGUGAAAGCCUGUGGCUUAACCACAGAAUGCCUUUCGAUACUGUUUGGCUUGAGACGGAAGAGGUUAGUGGAACUGCGAGUGUAGAGUGAAAAUUCGUAGAUAUUCGCAAGAACACCAGUGGCGAAGGCGGCUUACUGGUCCGGUUUCUGACGCUGAGGCGCGAAAAGCGUGGGGGGAGCAAAACAGG
rnacentral:rRNA from 1 species